AAAUUGAAGAGUUUGAUCAUGGCUCAGAUUGAACGCUGGCGGCAGGCCUAACACAUGCAAGUCGAACGGUAACAGGAAUCAGCUUGCUGUUUCGCUGACGAGUGGCGGACGGGUGAGUAAUGUCUGGGAAACUGCCUGAUGGAGGGGGAUAACUACUGGAAACGGUAGCUAAUACCGCAUAAUGUCGCAAGACCAAAGAGGGGGACCUUCGGGCCUCUUGCCAUCGGAUGUGCCCAGAUGGGAUUAGCUAGUAGGUGGGGUAACGGCUCACCUAGGCGACGAUCCCUAGCUGGUCUGAGAGGAUGACCAGCCACACUGGAACUGAGACACGGUCCAGACUCCUACGGGAGGCAGCAGUGGGGAAUAUUGCACAAUGGGCGCAAGCCUGAUGCAGCCAUGCCGCGUGUAUGAAGAAGGCCUUCGGGUUGUAAAGUACUUUCAGCGGGGAGGAAGGGAGUAAAGUUAAUACCUUU
rnacentral:rRNA from 1 species